CUUUUGUUCAAAUCUUUCAGGAAGUAACAUUUUCUAAAUCCCAGCUAUAACUCUGCUCUUCACCGUUAAAAAAGAAAUUCACUAAUUUUAGUAUUGAUCAAUUAAAUAGAUAAAUGUCCGAAGACUUAUAUGUAUACAUCCGUCAGUAAACUCCGCAGUUAUAGAACUUGUAUACUUUUAAGUUGUGUAUUAUUGUAGAUGGAAUAAUUCUGUGAGCCUGUAUUAUAACUAUAGUGUAUUGUAAGCAGGGAAAUUUGUAUGUUUAAAAUUUUAUUGAGAUAGCAAAUUUGUAGUGUUCAGGCUUACUACGGGCCUCGGGGGCCUUAA
rnacentral:lncRNA from 1 species